UGAACUUGAGUUGUGUGUUUUUGAACUUGAGUUUGUGGUGUUUGUUGAACUUGAGUUUGUGUUGUGUUUGAACUUGAGUUUGUGGUGUUUGUUGAACUUGAGUUUGUGUUGUGUUUGAACUUGAGUUUGUGCGUGUUUUUGAACUUGAGUUUCUGUUGUUUUUGAACUUGAGGUUGUGGAAAUUGUUAAACUUGAGUUUCAGGUGUUGGUUGAACUUGAGUUUGUUGUUUGUUGAAUUUGAGUUUGUGAUUUUUGAACUUGAGUUUGUGUGUGUUUUUGAACUUGAGUUUGGUUUUUGAACUUGAGUGUUGUUGAACUUGAGUUUGUGUUUGACUUGAGUUUGUGGUGUUUUUAACUUUUUUUGUUUGAACUUGAGUUUGGGUUUGUUGAACUUGAGUUUGGUUGUGUUUUUUGAAUUUGUGUUCAUGUUUGAACUUGAGUUGUGGUUUUUUGAGUUUGUGUGUUUGAUUUGAGUUUGUUUUUGAACUUGAGGUUGUUGUUUUAAUUGAGUUUGGUUUGUUGAACUUGAGUUUGUGUUUGUUGAACUUGAGUUUGUGGUGUUUUUGAACUUGAGUUUGUGUGUUUUUGAACUUGAGUUGAAUAUUUAAAUUGAGAAUUGGUGUUGGUUGAACUUGAGUUGUGUUGUUUUGAACUUGAGUUUGUGUUGUUUUUGAACUUGAGUUUGUGUUUUUUGAACUUGGUGUUUUUGAACUUGAGUUGUGGUGUUUUUGAACUUUGUGUGUUUUUGAACUUGAGGUUUGGAAUUUUAAACUUGAGAUUGGGUUUGGUUGAACUUGAGUUUUGUGUUUUUGAACUUGUAGUAUUGUUUCGUGUUUGAACUUGAGUUUGUGGUGUUUGUUGAACUUGAGUUUGUGUGUUUUGAACUUGAGUUUGUGGUGUUUUUGAACUUGAGUUUGUGUGUU